AAAUUACUUUUAGGCGUGGGUUUUCGUCGGUGUUUCGAUGACUGAAUCUCAAUCUGAAUAAAGUUUCUCGCUGCCUAUAAAUAUUGUGUGCCCAAAAGCGAGUUUUGCCCCCACGAAUGCGAAGUGGUAGCUGAUUGCGAAUAGAUGGAUGACUUUGGGUAGCACUUGGGGGCGUCACACGAACCGCACUUGAAAAACAAUACAACAAAUUACCAAUCGCUUUGACGCUUAAUUAGCUACAAAUCCCGUCCAAGGCUGUGUAUCCUUACAUAUACAUUUGAUUAUAUGUGUAUUUAUAUUUAUAUUGAUAUUAUUGUUACUCAAAUUUAUUUGCCGGUGGGCGUAGAAAACGCUUCAAAAGAUCAAAAAAGUUCAAAGCACCGAAGUAAUCCGAUACUGUUAUAAAUUUUGAGGCGCUUUCGGCGUUUUGGCAUGAUUUUUAUCAGUAGGUGCUAAAUAAAUUAAAUAUUAAUGUUUUAUCUUGUCUUUAAUGUUAUCUGGUAUUUUAUGAGAUAAAAAGGAAAAAUCCCAUCUAAAUAA